GAUGACGCCUAGCUACGAGGCUUAACGCAUGCAAGUCGAGGGGCAUCGGGAAGGAAAGCGUUGACGUUUCUUUGCCGGCGACCGGCGCACGGGUGAGUAACACGUAUCCAACCUGCCCUUUACUCGGGGAUAGCCUUUCGAAAGAAAGAUUAAUACCCGAUAGCAUAAUGAUUCCGCAUGGUUUCAUUAUUAAAGGAUUCCGGUAAAGGAUGGGGAUGCGUUCCAUUAGGUUGUUGGUGAGGUAACGGCUCACCAAGCCUUCGAUGGAUAGGGGUUCUGAGAGGAAGGUCCCCCACAUUGGAACUGAGACACGGUCCAA
rnacentral:rRNA from 1 species